rnacentral:misc_RNA from 1 species
AUGGCCGAUAUGGAAAUAGUUCUUGUGAGAUUUUGGCAAUCCCUCUCUUUUCUCUUUCUUCUCGUUCUACCAACUUUUGACCUGCUGUUGAUACUUUUAUGCCCUUACAGCCUGAAAAGAAAAAUCCUGGUUUAACUCCAAUGGACUGGGUCAAAUUCUUGGGUACUGCUAUAGUUGGGCUGGUGAGUUGUGUGUAUGUAGUUUAUCUGUUCAUUUUCCUUUUAUUUGUCUGGUUCAAAUGCACUUGGCUUGCCUUUGUUUCAGGUUGCUGUGAUUAGUUCAGUAGAAAUGCCUAAGGCUGAUCUCUGGGUCAUUUUUGCUAUACUUUCCACUGUGAUUGGUUACUUUGCCAAGACAUACUUCACGUUAAGUCUCUUUCUCUCUAGUCUGCAUGCACAAUGACACAUUUUCUCCCUUUUGAAUCCCAAGUGUAGCUAUAGAGGUGUUCAGCAAUGUGAGUGUUGCACAUUGGUUGUGGGUAAGAAUGAAUAGAAAACUGAACAAAGAUCUUGUACAACAGAUUAACCUUGUCAAGUGAUUAUAUCUUUUUCAUUACCCUGGAAGAUAUCAAUAGCAAGAGUGUGCAUUACUAACCACAUUUUGUUGUCCUAUUCUGUUAAUCCAAUUAAAAUUGCUACAAUACUCUAGGCAGAAUUUCUUGGUUGGUUCUAAUGCCUUAAAUUUGAUUAAUUUGCUUCUAGAACUGCUAAUUUUAUCCUUUAUGUCUUAACUCUUAACUUAGGAUAUUUUUUAGGAGUGAACAUAUAUUGGGAUGAGCACUCUGACACGGGAGGGGAAUUCAACAGGCAUUAAUUUUACUAGAAUCUCUGAUAGUGGUGUGUACAAGUGUAUUCAGAUAAGGGCAAUUUAUGACAAAGGACUUGUAAUUGUAAUCAGGAAUUUUAGUAGCUGUUAUUGUUGGUUUCCAUUUUUAAGCCGUGUACUUUAAUAGAUAGUUUAUCUCCUGCAUUAGUUUUUCUUCUCUCCCUAUUUCCCCACUUUCUUUUUAGCGCUUACUGAUGCGGCUAAUGUUUCUUCAACCAUCUGCAGGUUUCAGCAAAACUUGGCUGCAUAUCAGAACUUAAUUACACAGUCCAUGUACGACAAGCAGUUAGAUAGUGGAAGGGGUACUCUUCUUCACCUGUGUGAUGAUGUGAUUCAACAAGA